UUAUUUUGGCAGAUUAGUGUAUUUGAUUUAGAAUCAUUUUAAGUAAUUAUUAUUACAGGUAAUAU
rnacentral:tRNA from 1 species